CCAGAAGAAGCAGGUAGACUGUUCGUAGUACGUACUCGUAGCACGAAAGUACUGAACAGAAAAAGUAAAAAUAAAAAAAAUAAGGCCCACAAGACGUACAGUUCAAAUCUAACGUCUGUUAGUACAUUCUACUUUAGCGUGAAUAUCAACUCAUCUCGAUCCAAAAUGCGCCUUAUCAUAGUCUUGGAACAAUAGUCGAUGAAUCGCAAUCGAACCUCAUGAUCAAUCAUCACAGUCUGCACACACACACACACACACACACACACACACACGCACACGCCUAUUCUUGCCACUUUCAGGCUGUGCGCCUAUCAAUAAUCGGGAUGGAUUAGGGUUUGUUGGAUUGCAUGUGACAACGCUCAACCAAAAAAACGCAAACCAAAAUAAGUUUAUUUCCAUGUCCAACCGCACAUCCUGAUCCUUGUUUUCGGUAACCCAUACAUAACUUACUGCUACGAGAAUACUAAGGUUUACAGAAGUAUGGGAAGGGGAUUGGCACUGAUCCACACUGGGUCCUUCCAGAGCGAGCAUUACGUACCAACAUCCUGGGCACAGAUUAACAUUAAUAAACGUUAUCCACCGACAGAAUAACCAGUCUUGUCACCUCUUGCGUCUCGGCUAUCGCCUCUCGUUUUUGCCUCAACAACCCAGGACACAGCCUCGUUAGAAAUGGAGGUAUCGAGUUUAGCCUCUGCGCGCGUUGAAUCGAUCCACAACUUUAAUCGGGCGAAAAAAACGAGAAAGCUUAAGCAAUGGUUUAGUCUUCAGUAACAUGGAGAAAGUGCUACUACCACUAGUACGUGCCUCGUACGCAGAUGAUUAAAUUUAUUUCAAGUAGGGGUAAUUCAACCGAAUACGAAUUUUUCGACUGCAUUUUCUGGAACAGUUCCGGAGCGCGUGUGCUGAUACGUCGACGGGACACGCACUUGUUCGUAGUACUCCGUAUCAUUUAAGGAUACGGAUAAUCGAGCGGGUAGCUUAAAAAAAAAAAAUCGUAAAUCCACCCAAUAGCGGCAAAUCUUAGGCGAGCCACACCAGAAAGAAAAUUAGAAUUUUGUGGCAUUCCAACCGUUCAAAUUCAAUGUCAGGCGACAGAGCGCCAAGGGCCAAGGCGUCUACUACGGAGGAUGAUUACGGCCGCGGCCUUCACCAAGGCUUGGGUGGGCGAUAUUACGUAUACAGGGUUAACUAGUUAACUAACUAACUAGUUAAGUUAAUCUGCUCUGUAUAGUUACUACUACAGUAGUAGUUGCUCUGAUAGUAUAAACCGCGUAUGGCUCUGUACAACCUAGCCUCACAGCCUCACGGGCUAUCCAUGGUUGGCGGUUACCAUACCAUAUGUCGGAUACCAUACUUUAGCAUGACGGACGGAUAACUCAUUGGAAACCCGAGUCUAAUUCUGUAACGACUUACCAGAGGAGAGAAUCGACGUAAAUACAUACUCACAUACUCGCAGCAAAACUAAAUACGCGCAAUCUGUCCUGUCAGGGUUCAGUCCUCGUCACGCAGAGGGGGCGCACCAAGACUUGGCUAGCCUGAGCUUUGGCCACCGCCCUAAUGCCCUGACAAGUCUAAUAUUUCCCCAACGGGACUAGCGCCGGUCCUCGUACAUCCCAUCCUUCAUCAAGUCAGGUCAGCUAACGUGCCUAAGUGCGCUAAGUUCACCAAGUCAAACUAACCAACUUAGCUCACUAGGGGCUAACUUACGCUUGGAGUACAUACGUAAUACGGAUUAGUUGCCUAGCACAGGAUCCUGU
rnacentral:lncRNA from 1 species